rnacentral:rRNA from 1 species
CCUACGGGUGGCUGCAGUGGGGAAUAUUGCACAAUGGGCGCAAGCCUGAUGCAGCCAUGCCGCGUGUGUGAAGAAGGCCUUCGGGUUGUAAAGCACUUUCAGCGGGGAGGAAGGCGGUGAGGUUAAUAACCUCAUCGAUUGACGUUACCCGCAGAAGAAGCACCGGCUAACUCCGUGCCAGCAGCCGCGGUAAUACGGAGGGUGCAAGCGUUAAUCGGAAUUACUGGGCGUAAAGCGCACGCAGGCGGUCUGUCAAGUCGGAUGUGAAAUCCCCGGGCUCAACCUGGGAACUGCAUUCGAAACUGGCAGGCUAGAGUCUUGUAGAGGGGGGUAGAAUUCCAGGUGUAGCGGUGAAAUGCGUAGAGAUGUGGAGGAACACCAGUGGCGAAGGCGGCUCUCUGGCCUGUAACUGACGCUGAGGCGCGAAAGCGUGGGGAGCGAACAGGAUUAGAUACCCGAGUAGUC